rnacentral:lncRNA from 1 species
CCAAAUGUGAAGCUCUGAUGCUCAGCUCUUGCUGUGAUUUGCCCUUUUCAGCAGCUUCCGGCUGGGUGGGGCGUGAUCAUCCUACCACAUGAGACAAUGCAAUGCACAGAAGAAAGCUGGACAUUUAAGAAAUUUGCUGAAGUUUGCAGACAGCCAGAAAGGCCUGCACAAGAUUGUAGGAUAAUUAGAACGACGAAGCAGCCUUACCUUAUAUAAUGAAGCCGCAGAGUCUGACUGCAUAGUCUGAUUCUGAGCUUGGCCAAGAGACUGCAACGUCUCGAUGGCAUCUACUGUGAGCUGCCAGCCAGAGAGCGCCGUGCUCGAACCAGAGUUAAUACAACAUGCAGC